CCGUACUGUGGGCUCAGGAGGCAGAGCACUGAAUGUUUCACCAUGGCCUGGAUCCCUCUCCUGCUCCCCCUCCUCGCUCUCUGCACAGGUGC
rnacentral:pre_miRNA from 1 species